rnacentral:rRNA from 1 species
UACGUAGGUGGCAAGCGUUGUCCGGAAUUAUUGGGCGUAAAGCGCGCGCAGGCGGUCCUUUAAGUCUGAUGUGAAAGCCCUCGGCUCAACCGAGGAAGUGCGUUCGAAACUGCGGUUCUUGAGUGUCGGAGAGGGUGACGGAAUUCCCGGUGUAGAGGUGAAAUUCGUAGAUAUCGGGAGGAACACCAGAGGCGAAGGCGGUCACCUGGACGAACACUGACGCUGAGACUCGAAAGCGUGGGUAGCAAACAGG